rnacentral:rRNA from 1 species
UGCGUAGGGUGCGAGCGUUAAUCGGAAUUACUGGGCGUAAAGCGUGCGCAGGCGGUUUUGUAAGACAGAUGUGAAAUCCCCGGGCUCAACCUGGGAACUGCGUUUGUGACUGCAAGACUCGAGUACGGCAGAGGGGGGUGGAAUUCCACGUGUAGCAGUGAAAUGCGUAGAGAUGUGGAGGAACACCGAUGGCGAAGGCAGCCCCUGGGUCGAUACUGACGCUCAUGCACGAAAGCGUGGGGAGCAAACAGGAUUAGAAACCCUGGUAGU